UUUUUAUCUUUCAGGAAACUUUGAAGCCUUAGAAGACUUGAAACAACAACUAAAUAAAGAAAAAAAACUACUAAUUGUAUCCGAACGUCUAGCAACAAAAAAUUAUGGAACAAACUCACGCUAUUCGUGCAAGCAGAAGUUUUGCAUUUUUUGCAAAACUCUCAAAACUAAUUUAGCACGUCAUUUUGAAAUUUGUCACUCAGAAGAGGCAGAAGCAAGAAAAUUCUUAAGUUUCAAUAAAGGUAGUCCUGAACGUUGUGAAAUUAUAGCAAAUCUACGAAAAAGUGGCAAUUAUAAUUACAACAAGAGCAAUAAAGAGAAUCCCAUUCUUAUCAGACGAGUGCAAAAAGGUUCACGAGACUCUUUACCAUGCCCUAAUUGCAAAGGGUUUUAUUCACAGAUAACACUAUCUCGUCAUUAUGCCUACUGCUGCAAAG